CCCACAUUUAGCUGGCAUGGAAUUGAUCUCGGGACACUUGUUUACUCCUUUUUGGUCAUAACAGUGAGUGAUAAGAUAUGGGGUCGGAGAGUCUUGUACCUUUGUAUCUAUAGAAUUGAUCAUGACACUAGUGGGAGACGAGUGUGAGUGAUUGUAAAAGUAGGGUCUUGUCUUGUGCGUACAUUGCAUGGAAGAAUAAAUUUUCUCAGGGCUGGAGGUUGGACCAUCCAAGCACUAUACAGUCUGAAUCAGUAUGAGCUGAAAAGUUGCGUAUGGCGGCAGGCACUUGACAGUCUGGAUUGCUGUUUUUUAUUGGUACACGGUGACAACAUAUUUAAUUAGUGUGACAAUGAAGGGUCACCUCACCUGCAUUGGUUUUUGCUUUAUUUUGGUGGUUACAGGUGAUGACUUGAUGCAUAUGGUAUUCGUUAUAAGACUUCAACUGAAGUAUGUGAAAAUAAAGUUUCCAGAGGCGUUAGAGAGAAUUAAGAAUGAUAGCCUUGUUUUUCAAGCUUCUGAUGAUACUCACACUUGUAAGCCUAGCAGCAGCUGAAGAUGUCAGUUUCACCUACAAUGGUUUCCGAUCUGCUGAUCUUAGCGUAGACGGCAUUGCCCAAUUCACACCCAAAGGUAUUUUAGUGCUAACGAAUGAUACUGAAUGGCAAAUUGGCCAUGCCUUCUACCCCAACCCAGUAACCUUCAAGAACUCAUAUUCCAAUUCCAAUGCUUUCUCAUUUUCUACCACUUUUGUCUUUGCUAUUAGGUCCCCACUUGGAACUCGGGGUGGCCAUGGACUCGCCUUUGUCAUUGCUCCGCAAAGAGGGCUUCCUGGAGCUCUAAACGGCCGUUUCCUAGGCCUUUUCAACCUGGCUAACAAUGGGAAUACCACCAAUCAUGUUUUUGCUGUAGAGCUUGACACUGUAUGAACCGAAGGGUUCAAUGACAUCGAUAACAACCAUGUUGGGAUUGAUAUUAAUGGUUUGAACUCGGAGGACUCUGCUAGUGCAGCAUACUAUGCUAAAAAGAAUGGCGGGUUACGGAACUUGACCCUCGUCAGUGGUCAACCAAUGCAAGUUUGGGUAGACUAUGAUGGUACCAAGAAGCAAAUCAAUGUCACUUUGGCUCCAAUCAAUGUUGAUAAACCCCAUGCUCCGCUUAUUUCUUUAAACUAUGACCUUUCCUCAAUCCUUAACAAAACCAUGUACGUUGGCUUCUCCUCCUCCACUGGCUCACUUCCCACGUCUCAUUAUGUUUUGGGCUGGAGUUUUAAGAUGAAUGGCCAGGCUCAAGAACUUGCUCUCUCACAACUUCCCAAGCUGCCUCGGAUAGGAGGUAAAAAAAUAUCUAAACUCUUAACCAUUGGUGUGCCUGUGAUAUUUGUGAGUUUGGUUUUUCCAGCAAUUUUGGGUGCUAUCUAUGCCAUAAGAAAGAAGAAGUUUGCAGAGCUGCUUGAAGAUUGGGAGCUUGAGUAUGGGCCUCAGAGAUUUAAAUACAAAGAAUUAUAUAUUGCCACCAAAGGGUUUAGGGAAAAAGAACUUCUGGGACGUGGGGGAUUUGGUAAGGUCUAUAAGGGCAUAUUGCCCACCUCUAAAACUGAGAUUGCUGUGAAGAGGAUCUCACAUGAAUCAAGACAGGGGAUGAGGGAAUUUGUGGCAGAAAUUGUCAGCAUUGGCAGGCUUCGUCACCGGAAUUUGGUACCACUCUUGGGCUAUUGCAGAAGAAAAAGGGAGCUAUUCUUGGUCUAUGACUACAUGCCUAAUGGAAGCCUAGACAAGUACCUCUAUGACCAACCAAUGGCCACUCUCAAUUGGAGCCAGAGGUUUAAAGUCAUUCGAGGUGUAGCUUCAGGGUUGUUUUAUCUUCAUGAAGAAUGGGAACAAGUUGUGGUUCACAGGGAUGUCAAGGCAAGUAAUGUAUUACUAGAUAGGGAGUUGAAUGGAAGACUAGGAGACUUUGGCCUUGCAAGAUUAUACGACCAUGGCACAGACCCUCAAACUACUCAUAUAGUUGGAACACUCGGGUACCUUGCUCCGGAGCAUACAAGAUUCGGCAGGGCCACAACGAGCACUGAUGUGUUUUCUUUCGGGGCAUUUGUGCUUGAAGUUGCCUGUGGAAGAAGGCCAAUAGAGAUAAAAGGUCCACUUCAGGAUGUUGUAUUGGUUGAUUGGGUGUUUUCUUGUUGGAAGAGAGGUAAUAUUCUUGAGGCAAGAGAUCGAAAGUUGGGCACAGAAAUUAUAUCUGAGGAAGUGGAAUUGGUGUUGAAGCUUGGGCUGUUGUGCUCUCAUUCAGAGCCUUCAGGUAGGCCAAGCAUGCGCCAAAUUGUUCAGUAUUUGGAGAGUGACAUUGCUUUGCCAGAGCUCUCACUUCUUGGGCUCUCUUCCAGUGGCUUGACUUUUGCGCCCCAUGAAGGUUUUGAUGAUUUUGCGCAGUCAUAUCCCUCUUCUUCAGUCAAGGGGGUUUCAAAUGUUGAGUCGGCAGUUCUCUCAGGUGGUCGUUGACAACAAGAAUUAGGAUUCUCUUGGAAACUGGAAUUCAUAGCUAAUGCGCUUUGAUUGUUAGCUCUAGUACUUUUUUAUUUUUGUUUACUUUAAUAUAAAUUAAGGGGGCAAAACAAUCUGUACCGCAGUGCUUGUUACUUGUUAGCUUGUAAUUUAUGUUUAUGGUGCAUUAAUAAAGUGCCAUUUGCCAACACUGUAAUAUCCUAUUUACCCUCAUCUGAUGAUUGGUUUAUCAAUUUUAUAUGAAAACAACAGUUAUUCAUGUG